rnacentral:lncRNA from 1 species
GGGUCAAUACAAUUGUACUAGUACGCAGAGCAAUCCAAAAUAAAGCUUUUAUAUAAAUAAAAUAAUUGAGAGCUAGUCAUAAAAUAUGUCAUAAGAUAUAAGUUCAAAACACAUGGGCAUUAUUGAUAAAAUCAUAAAAAAACUUUCUGUCACUGCAAUUCAUGAUCUUUGUAUUACUUCUGAGUUAGGUGGCACUCCCCUACAAGUAUGAUAUUCCACGGGCUAUAUGGAAUUU